UUUCCCUUCCUGUUUACAGUGACUCAGGAGAAAACAUUGGAGACCGGAGGAGCAGAUUCCACUCUUCUCUGCCCAAACCAAACACUCACUGACAUCCUGACUGUAGUAUGUCACAAAAAUAGAGUUAUAAGUGAGGGUCACGAGUGUAGAGUUUCACAAGACUUUGAGACAAAUCAUACCAACAGCUCUUGUGACCCCAGAGUCACACUGCAGACAGAGAAUGACAGAGUGUGUCUACACAUCACCAACAUACAGCCAUCUGAUGAAGGGAACUACACCUGUCAGUGUGGAUAUAAUGGGGGACGGGAUUAUAUAGACAUACAUAUUUCUGUCAAUGGAACCAAAGUGCAAGAGGCCACAGACAACCAUCUCUUCUAUUGGGGGAUGAUAUCAGGCGUUGCAGCAUGUGUAGCUGUCCUGGUGAUUGGUGGUGUAAUCAUGAGGAAAAUUCAUCUCAGGAGAACACAGCUACAAGUGUCUGGAACCGUCAACGAGGUGCCACAACACUGCUUGCUGUUACCUGUUAGUCAGAUGACAGCAGCUGGGUCCCCAUUUACAACAGUUGUGUACAUUUCACAAUAAAUAUCUGCGUGCUCCAUACCUGAAAAGACCGCACAUGUACAAUAACAUUGAGAUUCAUCAACUAGGCGGAUGCAAUACGUCUGCAUGUUUCCACUAUAAAUCAGACCCAUAACAUUGAGAUUCAUCAACUAGGCG